CGCAGGUGGAUUAGCAAGUCAGAGGUGAAAUCCUACAGCUUAACUGUAGAACUGCCUUUGAUACUGCUGAUCUUGAGUAAAGGAAGAGAGAGAUGGAAUUCCAGGUGUAGUGGUGAAAUACGUAGAUAUCUGGAAGAACACCAGUGGCGAAGGCGGUCUCUUGGUCCUAUACUGACGCUAAGGCGCGAAAGCGUGGGGAGCAAACA
rnacentral:rRNA from 1 species